rnacentral:rRNA from 1 species
CCGGCGCACGGGUGAGUAACGCGUAUCCAACCUGCCCACCACUUGGGGAUAACCUUGCGAAAGUAAGACUAAUACCCAAUGAUAUCUCUAGAAGACAUCUGAAAGAGAUUAAAGAUUUAUCGGUGAUGGAUGGGGAUGCGUCUGAUUAGCUUGUUGGCGGGGUAACGGCCCACCAAGGCAACGAUCAGUAGGGGUUCUGAGAGGAAGGUCCCCCACAUUGGAACUGAGACACGGCCCAA